UACGUAGGGGGCAAGCGUUGGUCCGGAAUCAUUGGGCGUAAAGCGCGCGUAGGCGGCCCGGUAAGUCCGCUGUGAAAGUCAAAGGCUCAACCUUUGAAUGCCGGUGGAUACUGUCGGGCUAGAGUCCGGAAGAGGCGAGUGGAAUUCCUGGUGUAGCGGUGGAAUGCGCAGAUAUCAGGAGGAACACCGGUGGCGAAGGCGGGUCUCUGGGCCGAUACUGACGCUGAGGAGCGAAAGCGUGGGGAGCGAACAGG
rnacentral:rRNA from 1 species